AGACCAGGUGAACGAAGCAUUUUACCUGGAGGAGUCACCGUGGUAGGACGUACUUGUAUACCUCAAAUCCAGUCCUACACAUCUGAUCGUCUCUGGCCCCCGCACAUCUGACUGGCCUGUAAACUAGUCCUCGUCAGUCUAGUAAACACCUGUCGGCCCUCUGCACAGAGUGCAAGCGGAGGUGUUUUCCAGCAAACUGCCCCGCCCACUACCACCAGUCCACCAUCCUCCCCGUCCACAAGUCCACCUGAUCCACCCACAGCCCAUUGCUACGCCCACACAACCAGCCCACUCUUUUACCCGCUCACAGCUUCACCCACUAACCCCCGCUUUUACCAGACCAGCAGCCUCGCCCCUAGCCCACGCCUCGGCCCUCUCCUCAGUCCAGCCCAUCAGCCCACCUCGCAGUGCCGGAUCAGUGGUAGUGAGGUAAUUCUUGGUUAUAAAUCUCUACUCCAGGUGUCUCCCUUCGUAAAGAUGGUUAAAGCGUCGGAGUGGAGGUAGAGAUGAAGGGAAGAUUUCGGUACAGUGGACUGGAGCAGGCAGUUCUUGUAGUGACAACUGCAGUUAUUGGUUCGUUCCGGUACUCCCGCCAGCUGACUCAACCAUCCUGUGGCCAGUAUCACCAGCACCUGUUGAGACACUCCCCCGUCAGCCUCAGGGAUUGAUAAAGUCGUUGGUUCUUGAGCAGCUCUUGUCUAAGUGAAACA